UGCCUGCUGUCCUGGCCAAGAGUGCUGCCCACACCCUCAGUGCCUUGCUGGGCCACCACUGCCCCCCUGCUGGACCCCCCUGCAGCCAUCACCAAGGUGCCUGAUAGCUGUCUGUCUGUCUAUAUCUUUCUGUAUCAAUCUGUCCAUCUCUGUGCCUGUCUAUCUAUCUCUGCUUAUAUCUGUCUUUAUCUAUCUAUCUAUCUCAGUCUGUCUAUAUCCAUUUAUCUAUCUCUCUGUCUGCCUUAUCUCUGAUGCAGGAUUUAUUGAACUGUUUUGUUUUAAUAUUGUUUUUGUCCCUCUUUUUUAUUAUUAUUAUUCUCCUUACUUUACUGUUGCUGUCUAUUUUAUUUUCCCUAUCCAUGUCUGCUCAUUAAGAGGAAGCUGUUUAGGCCUAUAGCAUUGUCUUAUUUUUCCUUGAUGGCCUUUCUUGGAUCUCAGAAACAAUGUCUUUUUCCUAUAGUUAACCUGCUCUUUUUCUCAACAUUGACCUUCCUCUCCCUUCCCUGUCCUCCCCAGCCUUCAGGAGACACUGCUGAGCCUGGUGUAUGUCCAGCGGGCACACUGGCGCUGCUUCCAGUACCAGGGUCCUUAUGCCAGCAGGAGGUGUGGGGCGAGGCUGACCCCAGCACCUUCACCCCGAGCCUCUCCUUCCAAGGCCUGGUGGGUGUCUGGCCCUUAUGCCUACAGACCAGACACCAUGCAGCUCCUGACACCAUAGACACAGCAGCUCAGGGAGAGGAUUGAUGAGAAACUGCUGCAGCUGAGGAGGGAAGAGGCCGUGGUGCUGAGUGAGUCUCCGAGGCUGUGUCUGGUGUGUGACGAGCAGGUGGAGCAACACGCAGCCUUACGGAAGGGGAACAUCCAGAGCGGCCAGAGUGCAUCCAGCGGGUGUGGGAGAUGCUGGGGCGAGGCCAGCGGCUGCAGCCUCGGUGGCCCAGCGUGAGGAGGUGGAGCUCACACACAGCCAGGAACACGUGGCCUUCAUGUUCAGCCUCCAGGCCCAGGGGGAGGAGGAGCUGCAGACCAUUCAGGAGAACUACAAGUCUGUCUACCUCCACCCCGCCACCUACGCCUGUGCCCUGCUCUCGGCCGGCUCACUGCUGCAGGUUGUGGACGAGGUGUUUGCAGGCCGAGCCAGGGCUGGCAUGCGCAUCAUCCGUCCCCCGGCCACCACGCCGAGCUGGACCGCCCCCACGGCUUCUGCUUCUACAACAACGUGGCCGUCGCCGCCAACAGGCUGGGAUGCCAAGGGUGCUGGUGGUGGUCUGGGAUGUGCACCACGGCAGCGGCAUCCAGCACGUGUAUGUGGCCGAGCCGAGGGUGCUGUACGUGUCCCUCCACUGCCACCACCACGGCCUCUUCUUCCCAUCCUCUGAGGACCCAAACUACGACGAGUGAGGACGGGACCUGGCCAAGGCUACAACAUUAACAUUACCUGCAACAAGAGUGGCAUGGGUGACGCAGAGGCUCUGACUCAGGUGGUGCUGCCCGUGGCCUUCCAGUUCAACCCACAGCUGGUCCUGGUCACUGCCAGCCUUGAUGUUGGUGCGGGGACCCACUUGGAGGUUGCUGCGUGAGUCCCGAUUGCUUUGAACAUAUGAAGGCCCUUCUGUCUGGCCUGGCCGAGGGCCGCAUGGUUCUGGCACUGGAGGGCGGCUUCAGCCUCAACACCAUCAGCUACUGCAUGACGCUGUGUGCCAAGGCUUUGCUGGGGGAUCCGCUGCCCCCCCUUGAGCCCCAGCUGGUGCCCAACAAGAGUGCCGUGCAGACCAUCAAUGACGUCAUCCGUACCCACAGCCGCUACUGGCAGGCGCUCUGCUUCAAGAAAGAAGCAGCAGAAGAAGAAAAGAAGAGGAGGAGAGGGUAUAUGUGUGUGUGUGUGUGUGUUAU